rnacentral:misc_RNA from 1 species
CCGAAGUUUGGCCUGGGCAUAGCAGCCAACGCAAUAAACUACCCACUUGUCUCUCUCUCGUAGGUGACGUGUCCCGUGACUCUGUGCUGCUGCUGGCAUUGUUCGUCGGCGGCGGACAGGGUCGUCCGGGGGCACGCGCCGUCCCUGGAAGCAAGAACGCAGAACCCCGUGAAAGAAGGAAGCAUUAUGCGAUGUCGGGCGAGAGGCGUCUCGCCGAGCUUAACGUUGGUCGGUCCGCCGCCUGACGGAAAGCUCGAAACAAAGCGCACCCCACAAUUCAACCCCGAACAAACUCUGAAUCUGAACUCAAAAGGAGGCCCUAUACACUUAUAAUAGGGCCUUCUCAACCUUUUAACGUU